CUUGGCCUUUCUGUAAAACCAUCCACCCACAGUCUUACAAAACCAAGCCGUCAGAGCACUGACGUGGUGUGGCUUGGAGGGACAAAUCAUUUUGUGUUCUCCACUGAUCUUUCAGCAAGACCUGUCCAUUCCUGCUCCUCUUCUCAGCACCUAGAGACAAGCCAACUUCUCUACUCUCUGGGAAGUUAAGGAUGUGCAGGAUUGCUCCAUUGGAUGGACCAGACGUGUGCAAUGAAGGAAAAUGCUACUACUGGGAUUGGUCUUGCAGACUGACAACACAAGAAUAUGCUUAAUUUGUGAACAGGAGCUGCUGUGCAGAUGGGCUGAGUUGGUGUCCUUGCUGCAGGAAAUGGCUGAGCUUGUGAAGCACCAGAGUGUUAGCAAGACAAACAUCAAGAAGAUCCAAAUCCUUUGCUUUUGCAGCAGAGCAGAAAGACUAAACAGAAAGUAAGUCCCAGAUCUGGGCUAUAGCUGAAGAGUGAGUAAAUCCAUCAUCCAGUCAUUACCGAGAGGCUGUGAUCUACACUUAGCCAUCUGAAUGAUGCCUCUGCUGGAGUGUUCAAGUUGGGAGCACUGCUACCCUGGGAUCCCACAGUGGAGACAGCUGGGCAUGUCUGGGAAGUAAAUCCCACCUUAAAUCACUGAUCAGACUUGCCCAGAUCUGUGCAAUCACCGGGGAGGGACCUGGCAGGCUGAGUAAAAUGUUCAACAUUGAA